rnacentral:misc_RNA from 1 species
CAGCGAUGGAUUUGAUUAACUCUAUUCAAAAGCAAAUGUGCAGCCAUUCUAUUGUUAUUUGGUUGCGUUCUGGCAUAUUAAAUUGCUAUUAAUUACUUUAUUGAGAUAAGAAUGGAAUUGCUUUGUUCAUUUGGGUUGUGUGAACAUGUCCUGCAUGUUUAUGAGAGUUAUGUAAUGGCCCAGGAAAAUGGAGUAGCAUGAUUCUUGAUUUUUACAUAGUUAUUAUCAACGGGCAUGUAACAUUUCAUUUUCUAUAGCAUCCAUGGUCUGUCGUCCAUUUUGUAAUUUAUUAUUUGUAGCUAGGGCAUGGAAUUCCUGCUUGCUAUCCAUAUUCUAUCUUGAAGCCAGGAUCUUUAUCAUUAGAUUCUCCUUGUUAUCUUUACUAACAGAAUAUCAUUGAAGACACAAGGUUAGCCAAAGUGAGGAAAGAGGCCUCACACUUUUGAGUUAAACUGGUGAGUAGACCAGACCAUGGUUCAUUAAGAAAAGAAGUAGUUAACAGUGAAUAAUUUAAUAUGUCAGAGUGAGAUAAUCAAAAUUGGAAGCCCUUGGAUGUGGAAUGUAUUUACUAGUUAGUUUCACAUACGCCCAAGUGUUACAA